GUGACAUGUUGCUGGACCCAACACCUACAGGAUUGGAUCAGAGGCUACUGAAUAAGCCCUGCCCAUAGGCGGCCUUGUGACAUAUGUCUGCAUCUAUCGCCUAAGUGAUGUGACUCUUUUUCUGCCUGCAGCCUGCACAUAGAGAAGAUUGUGACAUAUCGCUUUGCCCAGUAACCAGGUGAUGUGUCUUUUCUGGCAGGUCUUUUCCCACAGGGAGCACUGUGAAACAUCACUGGGCUCAGCCACCAGGUUAUGUGACUCUUCUGCCUGUGCCCUGCUUCCAGAAAAUAUUGUGACAUCCCUCAUACAGCAUCCAGGUGAUGUGACUCUUCUGCUCAUUUUCUACUUACAGGAGACAUGCCCAAAAAAGGGAUUGUGGCAUAUCUCUGAGCCCAGCACCCAAAUGUUGUGACUCUCCUGCCUGAGCUGUGCCUAGAGAAAAUAUUAUAAUAUGUCACUGGACCCUGCAUGCAAGUGAUCCAAUUCUCCAGUCUGGGCCUUGCCCAUAGAGGAGAUUGAGACAUAUUCCAGGUGAAGAAUUCAGGUCAUGCAAAUGGAGGCGGAUUUUGACAUAUCAUAAAGCCAACAUAAUACACAGUCUACAGGUGGAAUUGGGACUCUCAUGCAUGGAUCCAGUUCAUCAUUGAUACUGUGACUCAUGUACUUGGAUGCAACUCACAGGAGGUGUUGACGCUUUUACCUGAAGCUGGGACAUGUGUGGAAUUGUGAAUCUUAGCCCUAGAUCUUCCCACAGGUGGGAUUUUGACAUAUAACUGCACCCAGCACACGGGUGAAGCAUCUUGUAUGCUCAUCCUGCCAAAAGUUAUGAGUGUCACCCUCACACAUGGACAGAGACCUCUGGUUAGGUCUUGAAUCUUGUACAUGGACACAGUCCACAGUUGGAAUGUCAUAUGUAGAUCCAGCCAAAGGUGUGAUGUUGACCUAUUUAUAAAGUUAGCUCACAGGCACAUUGAUAACUCUCAUACCUGGAUCCAGCCAAAAGUGUGAUGUUGACCUAUUUAUAAAGUUAGCUCACAGGCACAUUGAUAACUCUCAUACCUGGAUCCAGCCAAUAAAAGAUAUGUUGACUAUUAUA
rnacentral:lncRNA from 1 species